ACAAAUCAAGCAUUAAUUUUUUUCCAAAAAAAUAAUAAAUAAUAGUUUUUUGGUUAAUAUCAUACAGUUUCAGGUAAAUAUAGUGAAUCAUAAAUAUAUUUUUAUAAAAUUUAAUUUUCAUAUGUUGUUUCUGUAAAAAUUUUAAUAUUUUUAAUAUAUCCAUCUAGUUUGUUACCGUUAGAGUACUGUUCAUAUUUUCAAUUUCGUCAUCACAAAUGCUCCUCCAAAAAUUAUAAUAGUAUAAUAUAAGAGGGGUAAAAAUAUCAAAAACUAACCAGGGUUAACUAUUUAAUCUAUGGUUAACUAAAUUUUUCUAACAGAUUUUAACGUCAGAAAUAUACUUAAAAAUAUCAGAACUUUUGCAGCGACAACAUAUGAAAGUUGAACUUUGUAGAGAUAUAUUUAUCAUUCACUAUAUUUAUAGUGACAUAUAUGAAAUUAACCCUAUAUUUGUCAUUCACUGUAUUUUUAGAGCUUUCCAAUCGACGAUCUACACCUUUAAAUAUGAUCUAGAGUAUUUGAAAUUUUUAGAAUAUAAAUUUCAUUUUUUUUCGAAAUUAUAAUAAAGCCUAUCAAACGGGUAUAAAAUGAACAGUCAAAAUCGAACGACGUCCUAAAAUUAAUACAUGAUCUAGUGCUUUAAUUUAAGAUCGAAUUUAUUGAUCUUUAUCUAGAUAGUGAAUAGAAUUUUCUAUAAAAAAUUUAACCAUCUUAGUUCUUUUACACUGUUAAACUAAUAAGCAACCUAUACGGCCAUUUAAAAUUAGCAAUUUUGAGAUCUAUUGUAAGGUAAAUAAUGUUAAAAAUUAUAAAAUGUAAUUUUUAAAAAUUUUAAAUACUUUAAAUAAUAUUUAACUGUAUAGAUCGUCGAUUCAAAAAUUUUAUCAUAAAAAAUAACUUAUAAAUACGAAGACGAUCACACUCACAAAAGUACAGUAGCACUAACCGAACUCAAUGAACUAUA
rnacentral:lncRNA from 1 species